ACCAGGGAGCUAGAAGAGGAGAGCUUCUUGCCUCUUCAGAGUUUCUCAGCCCCGACACUAAUCCAGCUUUGGUCUUUUCUUCUCUGGAGCCUAGUUCGCCACCCCCUCCCCCAACAUACACCCUCAAUUCUUCUCUCCCGCCCUGCCUCCCAUCCUCCACAACAGCCCUCAUUCCCCCCAAGGCUUCCCAACAGUUAUAUGGGGAGUGGGGAUGGAGAGGGACACAAGACCUCCUAUCACCUGAUUCCAGCUCCUUGGCCAGAGGAGCUGUAGCCACCUUCUCCUGAUUCAGUCUGUCUUGAAGCUGCUUAUCGAUCUGAUUUUCAAUAUCUGUCACCAUCUCUGAAAUAGAAGGCUGACAGACAACAGAAGGGACUUCCUGCCAGGGGUGGAGCUAUGAGCAGAAGGCCGAGAGAGUCCUCUCCUUCCUUGAAGACCAGGAAGAAGCGGUGAGACCCUCCUCUGGCUGACAGCAAACCUGUCACCCCAAGGAACCCUGGGGGAUGCGGAAGGAGAGGAUCAUGUGUAACCGAGGCCAGACGGCAGAGUGGUGCAAAUCUGUUGGUAUAAUACCAGGAUGCUCAACGCAUGGCAGAGAAUAUCUAUGCUAUGGAAUGCUGCACAGCCUUACAAAAUAUUGAAUGGAUCUGAGCCCACGGACGCACAACAGCCUCAGAAAUUGCUCAGUGAAAAAAGCAAGCCUUGGACUUCCUUGGUGGUCCGGUGGUUAGGACUCUGCCCUUCCAUUGCAGGGGGCACAGGUUCAGUGGAUCCCUGGUUGGGGAACUAAGAUCCCACAAAAAAACAAGUCUCACUUAUGGACGUGGUGCCAGGGGAGGAAGGAGAGGGGGAGACGUACUGAGUAAUAAAGAAACAUACAUUACCUUAUGUAAAAUAGAUAACCGGUGGAAAUUUGCUGUAUGACGCAGGAAACUCAAUUGUAACAACCUAGAGGGAUGGGAUGGGGAGGGAGGUGGGAGAGAGGUUCAAGAGGCAGGGGUCAUACGUAUACCUGUGGUGGAUUCAUGUUGAUAUUGGCGGAAACCAGCACAUACUGUAAAGCAAUUAUCCUUCAGUUAAAAAUAAAUAAAUUAAAAAAAAACAA